rnacentral:rRNA from 1 species
UUAAAUUGAAGAGUUUGAUCAUGGCUCAGAUUGAACGCUGGCGGCAGGCCUAACACAUGCAAGUCGAACGGUAACAGGAAGAAGCUUGCUUCUUUGCUGACGAGUGGCGGACGGGUGAGUAAUGUCUGGGAAACUGCCUGAUGGAGGGG